rfam:Triticum aestivum genome assembly, contig: Triticum_aestivum_CS42_TGACv1_scaffold_027300_1AS
GGAUGCGAUCAUAACAGCACUAAAGCACCGGAUCCCAUCAGAACUUCGAAGUUAAGCGUGCUUGGGUGAGAGCAGUACUAGGAUGGGUGACCUCCUGGGAAGUCCUCGUGUUGCAUUCC